CUGAAGAGACAGCCUUGCUUUCGGACUGAACUCCAUAGCCCUAUCAUGGAGGCUGUGUACCUGGUAGUGAAUGGGGUGGGUCUGGUGCUGGACGUGCUGACCUUGGUGUUGGAUUUCAACUUCCUGCUGGUGUCCUCCCUCCUGGCUUCCCUGGCCUGGCUCCUGGACUUCAUCUACAGCCUGCCAUACACGGUACUGACUAGUCUUCUGCACUUGGGCAGAGGCGUCCUGCUUUCACCGCUGGCCGUGAUUGAAGCCUUGGUUCUGUUCACCUAUGGAGACUUGCAGGCCUCGUGUACCCUGCUGUGUAACUGCUGUUCUGGCCUGGAGAGCCUAAAGCUCCUGGGGCACCUGGCCUCUCAUGGGGCGCUGCGGAGUCGGGAGACACCGCACUGAGGUGUCCUCAAUGUGGUCUCCAACAGCCAUGCUUUGCUGCGCCAGGCCUGUGACAUCUGUGCCAUUGCCAUGAGCCGAUAACAGCCUAGUCAACAUCUGCCUCAUUGGCACACAGAACCUCUUCUCCCUGGUGCUGGCCGUGUGAGAUGCAGGGAUGGGACCUAUGUGGAGGAUACAGAUGUGGUGGCCGCUUUCCUAGCCCACAUUUCCAGCAGUGCUGUGGCUAUGACCAUCCUUCUUUGGACCCCUUGCCAACUAGCUCUGGAACUGCUGGCCUGAGCUGUCUGACAUCUUACUGGUUUGGUGUUGGCUGGCUUGUGUGCUGGCAGUGACUGACUGUGUUGUAUCCGGACCUCAUUUUGAGGCUGGUCACCCAAGCUUUCAGUCAGCUUCAUGCUCGGCCAUCCUACCAUGGACUCCGAGAGGAUGUUGUGAGGCUAUCUCGCUUAGCACUGGGUGUGGAGGCCUGGCACCGAAUCUGGAGCAGUAGCCUCCAGUUGGCAAGCUGAUCGAAUUGAGGAGGGGCACCUGGGACCCCCCAGGGUGUUCCUAGGAGAGUGUUUUCAGUCAGGACCUAGAGACAGGACACACAUCCAGAAACAGUGCCCAGAGCAGGGGCAGAAGAGGAGGAAAUCAGGACCAUCAGAAUUGAAUCUGCCGGGCCGGGAGAGGCUCAAUGAGGAGGAGCCGACAGCUGGACAAAACCCAUGGAAGUUGCUAAAGGAGCAAGAGGAGAAGAAGUCCGUCAUCUGCCAGGACCAGUGCAAGACCGUGCUGCUCCUGCCCUAUCAGCACCUGUGCCUGUGCCAGGCCUGCACUGAAAUCCUUAUGCGCUACCCUGUCUACCACCGCAACUGUUCACUCUGCCGCGUGGCAUCCUGCAAACCUUCUAAAGGCAUCCUUCUACUUCUAAAGACUCCCUGCCUGCCUGCCCACCCUCCACGCAGACUGCGCUAG